CGGAGCUAAUACCGGAUAAUAUAUUGAACCGCAUGGUUCAAUAGUGAAAGACGGUUUUGCUGUCACUUAUAGAUGGAUCCGCGUCGCAUUAGCUAGUUGGUAAGGUAACGGCUUACCAAGGCAACGAUGCGUAGCCGACCUGAGAGGGUGAUCGGCCACACUGGAACUGAGACACGGUCCAG
rnacentral:rRNA from 1 species